AUCGGGGCACGAUUCUACGGGAGGCAGCAGUGGGGAAUUUUGGACAAUGGGGGCAACCCUGACUCUUAGCCAUGCCGCGUGAAGGAUGACGGCCCUCUGGGUUGUAAACUUCUUUUAUGCGGGAAUAAACCCCUCUACGUGUAGAGGGUUGAAUGUACCGUAAGAAUAAGGAUCGGCUAACUCCGUGCCAGCAGCCGCGGUAAUACGGAGGAUGCGAGCGUUAUCCGGAUUUAUUGGGUUUAAAGGGUGCGUAGGCGGAUUAAUAAGUCAGCGGUGAAAACCUUCAGCUUAACUGGAGACUUGCCAUUGAUACUGUUAGUCUUGAGUACGGUCAAGGUAGGCGGAAUGUGUAAUGUAGCGGUGAAAUGCUUAGAUAUUACACAGAACACCGAUUGCGAAGGCAGCUUACUGGGCCAUUACUGACGCUGAGGCACGAAAGCGUGGGGAGCGAACAGGAUUAGAUACCCUGGUAGUCCACGCCGUAAACGAUGAUCACUCGCUGUUGGCGAUACACAGUCAGCGGCUAAGCAAAAGCAUUAAGUGAUCCACCUGGGGAGUACGGCCGCAAGGCUGAAACUCAAAGGAAUUGACGGGGGCCCGCACAAGCGGAGGAACAUGUGGUUUAAUUCGAUGAUACGCGAGGAACCUUACCUGGGCUUAAAUGUAGAGUGCAUGGGGUAGAAAUAUCCCUUUCCUUCGGGACUCUUUGCAAGGUGCUGCAUGGUUGUCGUCAGCUCGUGCCGUGAGGUGUCGGGUUAAGUCCCAUAACGAGCGCAACCCUUAUCGUUAGUUGCCAGCGGGUAAUGCCGGGAACUCUAACGAAACUGCCGGUGUAAACCGUGAGGAAGGUGGGGAUGACGUCAAAUCAGCACGGCCCUUAUGUCCAGGGCUACACACGUGUUACAAUGGCCGGUACAGAGGGCAGCUACCUGGAGACAGGAUGCGAAUCUCCAAAGCCGGUCUCAGUUCGGAUCGGAGUCUGCAACUCGACUCCGUGAAGCUGGAUUCGCUAGUAAUCGCGCAUCAGCCAUGGCGCGGUGAAUACGUUCCCGGGCCUUGUACACCCCGUAUACCGAUAUGA
rnacentral:rRNA from 1 species